rnacentral:rRNA from 1 species
GUGCCAGCAGCCGCGGUAAUACGGAGGGAGCUAGCGUUGUUCGGAAUUACUGGGCGUAAAGCGCACGUAGGCGGCUUUGUAAGUCAGAGGUGAAAGCCUGGAGCUCAACUCCAGAACUGCCUUUGAGACUGCAUCGCUUGAAUCCGGGAGAGGUGAGUGGAAUUCCGAGUGUAGAGGUGAAAUUCGUAGAUAUUCGGAAGAACACCAGUGGCGAAGGCGGCUCACUGGACCGGUAUUGACGCUGAAGUGCGAAAGCGUGGGGAGCAAACAGGAUUAGAUACCCUGGUAGUCC